rnacentral:rRNA from 1 species
ACUCAAAUGAAUUGACGGGGGCCCGCACAAGCGGUGGAGCAUGUGGUUCAAUUCGACGCAACGCGAAGAACCUUACCUGGGCUCGAACGGCUCACGAACGUCCUUGGAAACAGGGAUUUCCCGCAAGGGACGGGAGUCGAGGUGCUGCAUGGCUGUCGUCAGCUCGUGUCGUGAGAUGUUGGGUUAAGUCCCGCAACGAGCGCAACCCUUGUCCUGUGUUGCCAUCAUUCAGUUGGGAACUCGCAGGAGACCGCCAGCGAUAAGCUGGAGGAAGGUGGGGAUGACGUCAAGUCCUCAUGGCCUUUAUGUCCAGGGCUACACACGUGCUACAAUGGCCGGUACAAUGCGCUGCUAAGUCGCAAGACGGAGCCAAUCGCAAAAAACCGGUCUCAGUUCGGAUUGCAGGCUGCAACUCGCCUGCAUGAAGCUGGAAUCGCUAGUAAUGGCAUAUCAGAACGAUGCCGUGAAUACGUUCCCGGGCCUUGUACACACCGCCCGU